rnacentral:lncRNA from 1 species
CUUCCCUCCUCUAAUAAACACAUCAUGAAGGUCUCAGGAAAGAUUGGCUUCUAAAGGAAGGCAUCCUGUUGGCUCUCUAAACUGAGACCUCCUAUUGGAGGCCUUCCUUUAUAACCCGGGGCACACGAACCGACUCGCGGGCGGACGGCGCCCGGGCUCCCCAGCUCCGGAGCAGGUGGCCGCGACUUGUUCCCCGCGUGGCUCGCGCGCGAGAAGCCGCCGGGGUCCGGACCCAGGGGUGGGGAGAGUGACGCGUCCC